rnacentral:rRNA from 1 species
AUUGAACGCUGGCGGCAGGCUUAACACAUGCAAGUCGAGCGGAGAGAGGUAGCUUGCUACUGAUCUUAGCGGCGGACGGGUGAGUAAUGCUUAGGAAUCUGCCUAUUAGUGGGGGAAAACAUUUCGAAAGGAAUGCUAAUACCGCAUACGUCCUACGGGAGAAAGCAGGGGAUCUUCGGACAUUGCGCUAAUAGAUGAGCCUAAGUCGGAUUAGCUAGUUGGUGGGGUAAAGGCCUACCAAGGCGACGAUCUGUAGCGGGUCUGAGAGGAUGAUCCGCCACACUGGGACUGAGACACGGCCCAGACUCCUACGGGAGGCAGCAGUGGGGAAUAUUGGACAAUGGGCGCAAGCCUGAUCCAGCCAUGCCGCGUGUGUGAAGAAGGCCUUAUGGUUGUAAAGCACUUUAAGCGAGGAGGAGGCUACUUUAGAUAAUACCUAGAGAUAGUGGACGUUACUCGCAGAAUAAGCACCGGCUAACUCUGUGCCAGCCGCCGCCGUAAAAC